CACUCCUGCGGGAGGCAGCAGUGGGGAAUAUUGCACAAUGGGCGCAAGCCUGAUGCAGCCAUGCCGCGUGUAUGAAGAAGGCCUUCGGGUUGUAAAGUACUUUCAGCGGGGAGGAAGGCGAUAAGGUUAAUAACCUUGUUGAUUGACGUUACCCGCAGAAGAAGCACCGGCUAACUCCGUGCCAGCAGCCGCGGUAAUACGGAGGGUGCAAGCGUUAAUCGGAAUUACUGGGCGUAAAGCGCACGCAGGCGGUCUGUCAAGUCGGAUGUGAAAUCCCCGGGCUCAACCUGGGAACUGCAUUCGAAACUGGCAGGCUAGAGUCUUGUAGAGGGGGGUAGAAUUCCAGGUGUAGCGGUGAAAUGCGUAGAGAUCUGGAGGAAUACCGGUGGCGAAGGCGGCCCCCUGGACAAAGACUGACGCUCAGGUGCGAAAGCGUGGGGAGCAAACAGUAUUAGAAACCCGGGUAGUCCC
rnacentral:rRNA from 1 species